UGGUGGCAACGCGCUAGGGUCACUUUUGAGAUCAAGAAAGCUUUGUUCUUUUGCUGUUUAUAAUAAAACCUGUUGCUGCUCGCUCUUUUGGGUUCUGACUGCGUUUAUGAGCUGUAACACUUACCACAAAGGUGUGUAGGUUCACUCCUGAAGCCUGUGAGACCACGAAUCCACCGGGAGGAACGAACAACUCCAGAUGUGGUGCCUUAAGAGCUAUAACACUCACUGUGAAGGUCUGCAGCUUUGCUCCUGAGCUAGCUAGACCACGAACCCACCAGCAGGAAAAAACUCCGAACACAUUUGAGCAUCAGAAGGAACAAACUCUGGACACGCCGCCUUUAAGAACUGUGAUAUUCACUGCGACAGUCCGCGGCUUCAUUCUUGAAGUCAGACCAAGAACCCACCAAUUCCGGACAUAGGAAUACUAGCAGGGACUUUCUGGACAUUCGGCUCGGAGUUGGUUAGUUGUUCAGGAUGGUUCAAAGGUUUUGGCAGAGUUCAAAGACUGGGAAGCAAAGUUCAGCCAUGUUGGGCCUUUGGGCUCAUAGAUGAGCAAGGGUACCCCAAUAUGAGGGCUCAGCAAAUUCUGGAACUUAUCAGUUCUGAAGACCUUUAGAGGAGAAGGAGACAAGUAAAAGGGUUGGCCUUGCGUAUUGGCAAUGAAACAGGCUAUUUUUGACAUUGAGUUGUCCAGCAUUCUCUAAGGUAUGUAGUCCUGGAGGGCGCUGCUUAAUGAACCAGAAGUCCUGCCUCUUAAGUACCUCACCAGCUCAAAUGUGUGCAUGUCACCUUGGCGUGAAUCGGAGCAGGCGCUGGUGGAUACCGUUUGGAGGCAUGCCAGCAAGGAGCUCCUUGUGUAGCCUGCCUCUGGAGCCUCAAGUUCAACUUCCAUAGGGCCAAAAGGGGAGUCGGGCUGGGCAGAAGCUCCUGAGAACCAAAGCAAAUGGUCUGAGAGUCUGAGAGUGUAGUGGAGGUAACGUGUUCGUGUCCUCUCUGGCUGCAUCACCCCAAGUCCUUGCAGACUCAAGUAGCCUAUUUGCAAGUUUAAAUAGUUUGAGUCCUGGCCGGUAACAAGAAUACUCUACAGUGGCCCAGAGUCAGGGAUAUAGAGUGGCGACUACUUGGCAGAACUGGAGCUUGCUCAGAUGAAAAGAUAAAUUGUACUGGUUAAACGAA
rnacentral:lncRNA from 1 species